GAUGAACGCUGGCGGCGUGCCUAAUACAUGCAAGUCGAGCGAACAGACGAUGAUCUUGCUCCUCGGACGUUAGCGGCGGACGGGUGUGUAACACGUGGAUAACCUACCUAUAAGACUGGGAUAACUUUGGGAAACCGGAGCUAAUACCGUAUAACAUGUUGAUCCGCAUUGUUCAACAGUGAGAUACGGUCGUUCGGUCACUUAUAGAUGGAUCCGCGCCGCAUUAGCUAGUUGGUAAGGUAACGGCUUACCAAGGCAACGAUGCGUAGCCGAACUGAGAGGGUGAUAGGCCACACUGGAGCGGAGACACGGUCAAGAGUCCUACGGGAGGCAGCAGUAGGCAAUCUUAGGCAAUGGGCGAAAGCCUGACGCAGCAACGCCGAGCGAGUGAAGAAGGUCUUGGGAUCGUAAAACUCUGUUAUUAGGGAAGAACAAAUGUGUAAGUAAACAUGCACGUCUUGACGGUAACUAAUAAGAAAGCAACGGCUAACUACGUG
rnacentral:rRNA from 1 species